CCGGUGUUGAUGAGAAUGCCAAACCAGGAUAUACCUAGAAGUCUUGGUAAUGGCAUAAUGGCACAUAAAUAGCCUUCUGGAGGCUCUGGGAUUUACAUAUCUGUUAUUUUCUGCCAGCUGGUUAUCCUUGAUUUAAAAAGGUAGAUGCUGUGAUAUGUACCAUCCUGUUACUGGAAGACGUAACUGUCAAUGCGGUUAGAUAGUCUUGUAGGGGCAGUUAAGCUCUUCAACCUACUUCACCUACUUCCAGAGAAAAACUGUGAGAUAGGGAGAGUAUAAACGAC